rnacentral:misc_RNA from 1 species
AAACAAUUCAUCCAAUACUCGAUCCGAUACUCGAGAAGAAAAUCUUAUUGUACAAGGUCCUAGCAGUAGAACAAGAUCCCAUUCAACUAGCUCAGAAUCAUCUUCGAGUUCAUCAUCAAUAAGUUCAAGUUCAUCAUCUUCAUCUAGUUCAUCUGAAUCGGAUCAAUAAUUGUAAGCGCCGUGUAUGUAAAACUUUCUUUAAAAACACAUUGGCUAUUAGUAAUCGACCUAUCGCAACUGUUAUAUCAAAAAAAAAACCAAUCGGGAACGGUUGACGAAGAACUAAGGGGUAAACAUGGGAAACACAACAAAGUCAGCUUAGAUAUCAUUAAAAGCAUAAAAAAGCAUAUAGACUCAAU